rnacentral:rRNA from 1 species
UUACGGUCAAAUCACGCUGAAAAAACACCGGUUCUCGUUCGAUCACCGAAGUUAAGCAUCGUAGAGCCAGGUCAGUACUUAGAUAGGGGACCGCUUGGGAACACCUGGUACUGUAAG